UUGGGGGAGGGCUCCGGGUCCCCCCCCUUUCCCUGAGGGGCAUUUUUGGGGGGCUUCAGAUCCCCCCCCCUCCUUGGGGGGCAUUUUUGGGUAACUGCAGCCCCCCCCUAUAGAUGGCACUGCCCCAUUCGGAGCCCCCCCCGCACCCCCACCCCCCCCGGCGCCGCUUUUCCCUUUGGGUUUUCCAGUUGUGCCUUAACCGGGGAGCAGCGCUCAGUGGGACACCAAUGGGACCCCCCGUGUGACACCGAGGGGACACCAAUGGGACCCCAAUGGGACACCGGGACCCCCAGUGUGACACCAAUGGGACCCCAGUGAGACCCCCUGUGUGACACCAAGGGGACACCAAUGGGACACCAACGGGACCCCAGUGAGACCCCCAGUGUGACACCAAUGGGACCCCAAUGGGACCCCCCGUGUGACUCCAAUGGGACACCAACGGGACACCAAUGGGACACCGGGACCCCCAGUGUGACACCAAUGGGACCCCAGUGAGACCCCCAGUGUGACACCGAGGGGACACCGAGGGGACACCGGGACCCCCAGUGUGACUCCAAUGGGACACCAAUGGGACACCAAUGGGACUCCAAUGGGACACCAAUGGGACCCCCAGUGUGACACCAACGGGACCCCAAUGGGACCCCCCGUGUGACACCAACGGGACACCAAUGGGACACCAAUGGGACCCCCAGUGUGACACCGAGGGGACACCAGUGGGACACCAAUGGGACACCGGGACCCAAAGUGUGACACCGAGAGGACCCCCAGUGUGACACAAAGGGGACUCCAAUGGGACACCGGGACCCCCACUGUGACACCGAGGGGACACCGAGGGGACACCGGGACCCCCAGUGUGACUCCAAUGGGACCCCAGUGAGACCCCCAGUGUGACUCCAAUGGGACACCAACGGGACACCGGGACCGCCAGUGUGAUACCAGUGGGACCCCAGUGAGACCCCCAGUGUGACACCGAGGGGACACCGAGGGGACCCCAAUGGGACCCCAGUGUGACUCCAAGGGGACACCAAUGGUUCCCCCAGUGUGACACCGAGGAGACACCAAUGGAACACCAAGAAGACACCAAUGGGACCCCCAGUGUGACACCAGUGGGACACCAAUGGGACACCAAUGGGACACCAAUGGGACACUGGGACCCAAAGUGUGACACCGAGAGGACCCCCAGUGUGACACCAAUGGGACACCAAUGGGACACUGAGGGGACACCAAUGGGACCCACAGCGCCCCAAUGUGACACUGAGGGGACAGUGGGACCCCCAGCACUUUGAGGUGACCCCAAAGGGACCCCCAAUGUGACACUGAGGGGACACCAAUGGGACCCACUGUGCCCCAAUGUGACACUGGGGGAGCAGUGGGACCCCCGGCACUCUGAUGUGACCCCGAGGGGACCCCCAGUGUGACACUGAGGGGACCCACUGUGCCUCAAUGUGACCCCGAGGGGACCCCCAAUGUGACACUGUGGGGACAGUGGGACCCCCCAGCAGUUCGCGGUGACCCCGAGGGGACCCCCAAUGUGACACUGAGGGGACAGCGGGACCCACAGCGCCCCAAUGUGACACUGGGGGGACAGUGGGACCCCCACCACUCUGAUGUGACACUGAGGGGACCCCCAGUGUGACACUGAGGGGACAGUGGGACCCCCCACCACUUCGAGGUGACCCGGAGGGGACCCCCACCACUCUGAUGUGACCCCGAGGGGACCCCCGAUGUGACACUGAGGGGACAGUGGGACCCCCAGCACUCUGAUGUGACCCCGAGUGGCCCCACACGGCUCCAUGGGACCCCACUGUGGGGCAGUGGUGGUUAUGCGGGGGGGUCGGGGGCUGCUGCCCCCCCCCACAGCCGCCCCCUGCAGAGCUGUCCCCCCCCCC
rnacentral:lncRNA from 1 species